rnacentral:rRNA from 1 species
UGAACGCUGGCGGCGUGCUUAACACAUGCAAGUCGAGCGAAGCAAUCUAAGUGAAGUUUUCGGAUGGAUCUUAAAUUGACUGAGCGGCGGACGGGUGAGUAACGCGUGGAUAACCUGCCUCACACAGGGGGAUAACAGUUAGAAAUGACUGCUAAUACCGCAUAAGCGCACAGUACCGCAUGGUAUAGUGUGAAAAACUCCGGUGGUAUAAGAUGGACCCGCGUUGGAUUAGCUAGUUGGUGAGGUAACGGCCCACCAAGGCGACGAUCCAUAGCCGACCUGANAGGGUGACCGGCCACAUUGGGACUGAGACACGGCCCAAACUCCUACGGGAGGCAGCAGUGGGGAAUACUGCACAAUGGGCGAAAGCCUGAUGCAGCGACGCCGCGUGAGCGAAGAAGUAUUUCGGUAUGUAAAGCUCUAUCAGCAGGGAAGAUAAUGACGGUACCUGACUAAGAAGCACCGGCUAAAUACGUG